UUCUCUUGUCUCCAAUAUUUUCUUAUCUUGUGUUUUGUUUCGAAAGACCAUGAACUUCUUUGCAUCUUUUGAUUUCUAUUGGCUCUAUUGUUUGUCUCUAAUUUUCAAUUCUUCUUCUUUGAAUGAAAUAAUUUACCAUUGUUUGUCUUUGAUUUAAAAUCAGUUGUUGGUCAUUCUAUCUAUAUUGUUGAUUUCUCAUUUACCAUUAUUCAUGAUAUUAUAUGAAAUUCAAGUUUCAAUGAAUGAAUUUCAUAACUCUAAGGCUGGACCCUAUUCCAUUUUUUUUGUGCACUUUAUAAUUAUGAUCUCACUUGUCUUCAAUUAUAAGGACAAACACAUUCUAUCUACUUCAUAAAUGCAAAUAGUAUGUCUUCUCCCUCUUUAUCCAACAUUUUUUUAUCACGGGUGUUGAUUAGUGCCUCCCUGUUAUAACUUCUUUCGUAUAGUACUAAUGUUCUUUAUUGUAACUUGUUUUAGGAUUGGUCUUGUUACGAAUCAACUACAUCAAACACUGUUUACCAACUUUCUCUUGAUAAGGUGAUAACUAUCUGUCAUUAUUAUGGUUUAUAUAAUUCUUUUCGUGGUUUAGGUUACACAUUUUUCUUUAUCUUACUUAUAUUUUUUUGCUAAUCAUUACUUUUUUGUGUGCUCUUGUCAAGGUGGACUAUUAGCGUACUCGAGCAUUGUGUAAGGUUCAUUAACAUGAAUAUAUAGUAAUUUGGACAAAUAUUCAUAUAUUCUUAAUUAUAGCUGUUUGUAUGAUGAAAAUAGUAAUAUAUGUUUGUUUCGUAUUUAUAGUUGUUUGGAAGAAUUUAUAGCUGUUUGGAUGAAUUUAGAGUUGGAUGGCUAUUUUAUAAAUCUUGUUUAUGUUGGAUGAGUAACAUUACUAUAUACUUGUUGCUAUGUUUGGAUGAUUGACAAUCAUAAUAUCUUUUUUUAAAAAAAUAAUAUAAAAAAUCAUAUUAUUGUAUUAUUUUUUUAAAAAAAUGAUAACAAGAAAAGAAGACAAUAAAAAAGAUUAACAUGAAAAAAAGAAAAAACAGUUUGCUAUGGACAAAAAGAUUUUUUAAGUCUAAAAAAAUAGUAUUGUUAACAUGGAAAAAAAAAAGGAUAACCACUGUUGUUUAAUUCACUUAUAGAAUAACAUGAAAAAAGAAGAUAAAAAACAGUUUUUUAAGAAAAGAGUCUCAAUCAAUAGUGUAAAAAGAAACAGUUUGUUAUGGACAAAAAUUAGUUUUUUAAGUCUAAAAAAUAGUGUUGUUAACAUGUAAAAAACAGGAUAACUAGUGUUGUUUAAUUCGCUUUUAGAAUAACAUAAAAAUAAAAAAUAAAAAUAAAAAUAAAAUAAAAAAUAUAGUUUUUUAAGAAAAGAGUCCCAAUCAAUAGGGUAAAAAACAGUUUGCUAUGGACAAAACACGACGUUAAAAAUCAAUUUUUUAAGUGUCCAAAAAAAACUUAAAAAAACAGUUUGAUGGACUUAAAAGAACAUAAAAACAGAGACUUGAAAAACAAUUUGUUUCAUAUGACAUUAAAAAAGAGCAUAAAAAAAAUCAUUCACAAUUAUUUAAGUAGGGAAAGUAGGGUUCGGGUUUCACAAUUAUAUUGAGAGUUCAAAUGAAUGAACCCAAUGAAAGGAUGAAUUGGUUCAACAGAUGUUUGCUGAAUGGGAAUUGCGUAGCGUGUAGAGCCUUUAUGCUUUUUUAAUUAGUUAGAACGCCUAUUUUCUUUUUCGUGUUGUGAAAUGACUUCAUUCGAAACUCUCUUAAUAUCAUUAUGUUUACUAUAUUUUGUACUUCACUUUACCCAUUAAUUAUGUUUCAUAUUUUUGUUUUUUUCUUAAUUGUAUUAAAAUGUGUAUGUGUAUACACUAGAAUGUCAAGUUCCUAGUCCAAGAGGAAGAAGCGAAGCUGGUUGAGUAUUGUUUGGUGGUGUUGGUCACAUCUGGUGGAUGGAGAUCAGACAAUGGGACGUUUCGACCUGGGUACUUGGCACAACUAACGUAUGAUGGCUGAGAAGUUGCUCGACUGUAAUAUCCAAGGAUCACCGACUAUAAAUCGUCGAGCCAAAUUCUCGAAAAAAAACUUACCAAGCAAUCGCAGAAAUGAGAGGACCAGCUUGUAGUGGAUUAGACUGGAAUAAGGAAUUCCAAUGCAUCACUGAAGAACUGUCAUCCUGCAACAAAAAGGCUUCUACAGAAAUCAUUCCCAUACUAUGAUGAUCUAACCUACGUCUUUGGCAAGGAUCGGGCUAUAGGAGGACGAUUAGAGACCUUUGCGGACGUUAGGUCUAACAUGCCAAACCAUAUGAAUGAUGGUGUUCCUAUUCAUGAAUCGCAGGAUCUGAACCUCCCUAUUAUGUCUAGUCAGGGAAUGGACAUGUCAUAGGAUGACAUGCAUGGAACACGUAUUGGUUGAAGCACUGAAGGAGGAAAUGCUUCGAGAGGAAGUAAGGGGAAGCAAAGUGAGAAUCAAUCUGAAACGGCAGUGAUUGUUAGGAAUGCGAUGGAGUUCGCAAAUGACUAAUUGAAGGCAGUUACAGAAUGAUCGAAAGAGAAGCGAGCAACCUAGGUCGAACUGUGCGCAGAAGUCGUAAACUAACUCCAAGAUGUUCCUGAAUUGCAUAGAGAACAGAGGGAGAAGCUUAUGCAAAUCAUAUUCCACAGUGUGCAAGAUACAGAGAGCUUCUUAUUCGUUCCCACAACCCUCAAGUUGGACUAUUGCAACCUCCUCCUUCAAGAAAAUAUUUUAUUAACCCGUGUUUUAGACUGUUUUUCGACAAUGAACAAUGAUUACUUUGUUUCAAUUAUGCAUUUAAGUUUGUAGUAAAUUUGGUAUGAAAUCUUCCUAGCCAUAUUUUAAUCAUGAGUUAGUUAUUUUGUCUUACAUUUUUUUGUACCUUCAAAAAAGAGAGCUUUAUAUAUGAAACACAUGAAUUGCAUAUGAAA